GCACACAGGAAUAAAUAGCCUCAGUUUAGCCUCUGGCAUGUUCAGCUGUCCAUUUCCAGCGGGCUAACCAUCCUGAUUUCCCGCUAAGUCUCAACACCGAGCAGACUGCAGCUGUUUGGUUAAAGUUUACUGCAAGGUUUGCAAAGACAAGAGUUGUGGUUCAAAUCGAGAGGAAUAUAAAUGGUGGUAAUCAUAUACCAACAUCGAGGUGAGAAUUAGCGGGUAUGAGCUCAGAGGAGGAGUCAGUGGAUCAGACACCGCCCACCUGCGGUCUGCUGGGCCUUCUGCUGAAGAACAGGCGUCCCACCGGAGCUGUCAACGAGGUCUGGCCCGACCUCUUCGUUGGGAACGCGGCGACAGCUCGAAAUAAGACGCUGCUACAGAAUCUGGGAAUAACACACGUGGUGAACGCUGCAGAUGGCCCUCAGCACAUUGACACCGGGCCACGUUUCUACAGAGACGCCGACAUACAGUACCAUGGAGUAGAGGCAGCAGACUGCAUUGAUUUUGACUUGAGCCCGUUCUUCUCAGGGACUGCUGAUUUCAUUCACGGAGCUCUGAGUCAGAAAGGUAAGGUACUCGUCCACUGCGCUCGGGGAAUCAGCCGCUCGGGAACUUUGGUGUUAGCCUUCCUCAUGAUCAAAGAAGGUCUUACCCUGGAGGAAGCCGUGGAGCUCGUUUGCAGGAGCAGAAACAUUCUCCCAAACACUGGGUUUCUGAAUCAGCUCUGUCAGCUGGACUCAGCUUUGCGAAGAAGAAAAAUGUAACAUUCGGCGGUGGAGAGAACGCUUGGAUGUACUGCUAAAAGGAGUUUCAUCUUCAUGAAUACUUUAUAUUUUAAAAAGAACAAAAAACAGAAUGGUUCAGUCUGGMUUUUCUGGUUUUGAAUUUUGCAGUCCAACACAUUUUUAAUCAUUGCCUUUUGAAAACAGUGAUUACAAAUGUGUGUAAUUCAGUGUUAACGUUCUCAUUACAGAUAUGAUUAUUCAACAACGAGCUUAAAAGCAUGAAAAAUGUUCAAAAAAAUAUUCAGGGGGAAAAAAAACAGGACAUAUUACUGGUGUUCACUGUUUUGUAAAAGUAGCUGCAUCCCCUGAAAUUGUUCACAUUUUGAGAUACAUUUUAUUGGGGUUUUAUGAGUGCACUCUGCAAUUUUAAGAUAUUUCUAAAAAGAAMAAACUUUUGGAAUAAUAAUUUUCUGUCCUUUCCACAACUACAUCCUAACAAAUAUUUCAAGGAUCGUGUAAAUAUGACAGAAAUGAAUGAAGAUUUGACUGACAUAUAAAAUGGUCUAAAUGUUAGUAAUAAUUUCUGUAUUUUGAACCAAUUUUAUUUUAAAAUAGAGCAAGUAAUUUUAAGUGACCAACACAAUUUUAUUUGAGACAUAACAUAAAACUUAAAAAAAAAGAAAAAAAAAAAGAAGUGAAAAACAACCACGUGACGUCAUUACGCUGGGACCAACGUGACAGUUUUUCCCACCCGGUCUUUUCGUACACUUAAUUGCUACAGCUACAUCAAACACUGCUAGCGGAGGAAGUUUCUCCCUGACUGGAGGCAAAGGGACCAUGUAUGGAAGGAAGCCACAGUGAGGGGAAAAAAAUGGCUUCUCACAAGUCGAAGGCCGG